rnacentral:rRNA from 1 species
GCCAGACUCCUACGGGAGGCAGCAGUGGGGAAUAUUGCACAAUGGGGGAAACCCUGAUGCAGCGACGCCGCGUGAGUGGAGAAGUAUUUCGGUAUGUAAAGCUCUAUCAGCAGGGAAGAAAAUGACGGUACCUGAUUAAGAAGCCCCGGCUAACUACGUGCCAGCAGCCGCGGUAAUACGUAGGGGGCAAGCGUUAUCCGGAUUUACUGGGUGUAAAGGGAGCGUAGACGGUGAUGCAAGUCAGAAGUGAAAGCCCGGGGCUCAACUCCGGGACUGCUUUUGAAACUGUGUGACUGGAGUGCAGGAGAGGUAAGCGGAAUUCCUGGUGUAGCGGUGAAAUGCGUAGAUAUCAGGAGGAACACCAGUGGCGAAGGCGGCUUACUGGACUGUAACUGACGUUGAGGCUCGAAAGCGUGGGGAGCAAACAGGAUUAGAUACCCUCGUA